UUUAAAUGUAAUAAAAUAAAUCAAAGGAUUAAUAGUUAAGAUCUUUAAAUUUAAAAAUUUUGGCGGUAUUUUAGUCUAUUUAGAGGAACCUGUUCUGUAAUCGAUAAUCCACGAGUUAAAUAACUUAAUUUAUUAGUUUGUAUAUCGUUGUUAUUAAAUAUUUUAUAAGAAUUAAAUGUUUAAGAGUUUUAAAGAGAAAAAAUUUCAAAUCAAGGUGCAGUUUAUAAUUAAGAAGAAAUGGGUUACAAUAGAUUUAUUUAAAUGAAUUUAUUUAUGAAAAAUGUAAUGAAGGUGGAUUUAAUAGUAAUAAAAUUAAUAUUAAUUUUAUGAUUUUAGCUCUAAAAUGUGU
rnacentral:rRNA from 1 species